GACGUAGGUGGCGAACGUUAUCCGGAAUUAUUGGGCGUAAAGGGUGCGUAGGUGGCCUGACAAGUUAUCAGUGGCAAAUCGAGGCUCAACCUCGUGGAAACUGGUAAUACUGUCCGGCUUGAGUGCAGGAGAGGUUAACGGAACUCUAUGUGGAGGGGUAAAAUCCAUAGAUAUAUAGAUGAACAUCAAUAAAGGCGAAGGCAGUUAACUAAUUCUGUUACUGACACUGAGGCACGAAAGCGUGGGGAGCAAAACGG
rnacentral:rRNA from 1 species